UCAUACCUAGCUCAAUUGGCAGUGCAACUGACUCUUAAUCAGUGGGUUCCCGGUUCAAGUCCGGGGGGGUGCACCA
rnacentral:tRNA from 2 species